rnacentral:rRNA from 1 species
UACGUAGGGAGCAAGCGUUGUCCGGAAUCAUUGGGCGUAAAGCGCGCGUAGGUGGCUCUAUAAGUCCGUUGUGAAAGUCAAAGGCUCAACCUUUGAAAGCCGAUGGAUACUGUAGAGCUAGAGUCCGGAAGAGGCGAGUGGAAUUCCUGGUGUAGCGGUGGAAUGCGCAGAUAUCAGGAAGAACACCAAUGGCGAAGGCAGCUCUCUGGGACGGUACUGACGCUGAGACGCGAAAGCGUGGGGAGCGAACAGG